rnacentral:rRNA from 1 species
AGUGAACGCUGGCGGUAGGCCUAACACAUGCAAGUCGAACGGCAGCACAGUAAGGGCUUGCUCUUACGGGUGGCGAGUGGCGGACGGGUGAGGAAUACAUCGGAAUCUACUUUUUCGUGGGGGAUAACGUAGGGAAACUUACGCUAAUACCGCAUACGACCUACGGGUGAAGGCAGGGGAUCUUCGGACCUUGCGCGAUUGAAUGAGCCGAUGUCGGAUUAGCUAGUUGGCGGGGUAAAGGCCCACCAAGGCGACGAUCCGUAGCUGGUCUGAGAGGAUGAUCAGCCACACUGGAACUGAGACACGGUCCAGACUCCUACGGGAGGCAGCAGUGGGGAAUAUUGGACAAUGGGCGCAAGCCUGAUCCAGCCAUACCGCGUGGGUGAAGAAGGCCUUCGGGUUGUAAAGCCCUUUUGUUGGGAAAGAAAAGCAGCAGGUUAAUACCCCGCUGUUCUGACGGUACCCAAAGAAUAAGCACCGGCUAACUUCGUG